rnacentral:rRNA from 1 species
GAGAAAUUUGGAUUAAUACCCCAUAACAUAUUUGAUAAGGCAUCUUAUUAAUAUUAAAGCUUCGGCACUUGAUGAUGGGUGUGCGGCUGAUUAGAUAGUUGGCGGGUAACGGCCCACCAAGUCUACGAUCAGUAGCUGAUGUGAGAGCAUGAUCAGCCACACGGGCACUGAGACACGGGCCCGACUCCUACGGGAGGCAGCAGUAAGGAAUAUUGGACAAUGGACGAAAGUCUGAUCCAGCCAUGCCCGCGUGAAGGAUUAAGGUCCUCUGGAUUGUAAACUUCUUUUAUAUGGGACGAAAAAAGGGCAUUCUUGUUCACUUGACGGUACCAUAUGAAUAAGCACCGGCUAACUCCGUG